rnacentral:rRNA from 1 species
CGAAACCGAUAGCGAACAAGUACCGUGAGGGAAAGUUGAAAAGUACUCUGAAUAGAGAGUUAAAUAGUACGUGAAACCGCUUAGGGGUUAAGCCCGAUGAACCCGAAUAUCUGAUGUGAGAAAUUCAAUACUGUUCAUUUAAUUAAUGCGAUAGUAUGCACUUUUCUCAUAGUAGGACAUUGUAAUCCAUUGAUAUUAUAUCAUUUUCACAUUAUAUGGGAUAUGAUGAUUUAACAUACGAACAAAAUGUAUAAGUUUAUUCUAUCAGUGAUAUGUUUACAUGUCAUAUGAAUAAGAUCGUUUUGUAUCCGUUUAAAUAGUCGAUGGAUUUUAAACUGAAUCAUGCUUGCAAUUUAUUUUGCGUUUCGUAUUAUUGGCUAUUUAAUUGGUUGAUAAUAGCAGAAAUGGCAUGCAUUCGAUUAACAAUGCGAUAGAUUUGGGAUACUUUCAGGACCCGUCUUGA